CCUACGGGAUGCAGCAGUGAGGAAUAUUGGUCAAUGGACGCGAGUCUGAUCCAGCCAAGUAGCGUGUAGGAUGACUGCCCUAUGGGUUGUAAACUUCUUUUAUGUGAGAGUAAAAUGUUCCACGUGUAGGGUUUUGUGUGUACCAUAUUCAUAAGGAUCGGCUCCCUCCGUUCCAGCAACCGCGGUAAGUCGGAGGAUCCGUGCGUUAUCCGGAUGUAUUGGGCGUAAAGGGAGCGUAGGUGGAUUUUUAAGUCAGUUGGGAAAGUUUGGGGCUCAACCGUAAAAUUGCAGUUGAAACUGGCAGUCUUGAGUACAGUAGAGGUGGGCGGAAUUCGUGGUGUAGCGGUGAAAUGCUUAGAUAUUUCGAAGAACACCGAUGGCGAAGGCAGCUCACUGGACUGCAACUGACACUGAGGCUCGAAAGUGUGGGUAGCAAACAGGAUUAGAUACCCUUGUAGUC
rnacentral:rRNA from 1 species